UGACACAACUUGAAAGAUAAAAGAGAGAAAGAAGAGGGAGAGGAAGAAAGCUAUGGCGAACAAGCUGCUUAGCGAAAUGGGUCUUCCCAAGUCUAUUGCCUACAUUUUUUCUGCUCGUAACCUUAUUACUGCUAAGGACGUAUUGUCAUUGACAGAAUUCGAGUUGAUGGAAUUGUUAGAUGUGGAUUUAGCUGUAGUAGCAUCAGCAGUGGCACACAUCAGUGAAAUUACAUGUCCUCCUUACCAAACUGCACUUUCAUUGCUGGAACAGAGGGUUCAAAAUGAGAGAAUGGCUGGCCAUCUUCCAACUUGUCUAAAAGGACUCGAUAAUGCUUUGUGUGGUGGAAUUCCUUUUGGUGUUGUGACAGAGCUAGUGGGUCCAGCAGGCAUUGGUAAAACUCAGUUCUGUUUGAAGCUUUCGUUAUUAGCUUCUCUUCCAUUAAGUUAUGGUGGCUUAGAUGGUUCAGUAAUUUAUAUCGAUACAGAAUCCAAGUUUAGUUCAAGGAGGAUGAUAGAAAUGGGAUAUAAUAGCUUCCCCGAAGCAUUUCACGCUGAAGGGAUGGCACAGGAGAUGGCUGGAAGGAUCCUAGUUUUAAGACCGACAUCCCUUUCUGAAUUCACUGAUAGCUUGCAGAAAAUCAGAGUUUCACUAUUUCAACAUGGUGUGAAAUUGCUGAUCAUCGACAGCAUGGCUGCUCUUCUUGCAGGUGAAGGUGUCCAAGGACCUCAGAGGCAACAUUCAUUGGGUUGGCAUAUAUCAUUUAUUAAAUCAGUUGCAGAAUUUUCACGAAUUCCUGUAGUAGUAACCAACCAAGUGAGAUCUCAAAGUCGUGAUGAAACUUCCCACUAUUCUUUCCAAGCUGAACUAUCUGGGCCCUCAACUAGAUUCAUCCCAGCCACAUAUAUCUUCCUCCAGCUCAAGUCACCUUACUAUUAUUCUGCAACGUCAAAACUCAUUACAUUCCUUAUGCCUUUGGAGUCAUACUCGACCUCGAGCAAGCUGUUGCUAGAUAAACUUUGGAAACUAAGCUUGAUUACCUUCCUAUCUUCUUGUGUUGCUUCUUUUGGAGGAGAAGCUGUUGUAGAGAUACACCCGGUCCAAUCUUCAUUUCAACUAUCAAGCAUGAAAAUACAAGAACUGAGCAGAGUCGAUCGUUCAGAAGCUUCCACAAAUCUUGAUUCUCAUCUUGUUGCUGCUUUAGGGAUCCACUGGGCUCAUGCUGUUAGUAUUCGUCUUGUAUUUGAAUCAAGAUCAGGUCAAAGGUUCAUAAAAUUAGCAAAAUCUCCACUAUCUCCACCUCUUGCAUUCCCUUUCAACAUAACUUCUUCUGGGAUUUCAUUGCUUAAUGAUGAUGGAGUGGAAAUGCCAGGGCCAGAGAUACAUACAAUACAUUGUCAAGGUCACAGCAGCAUUAUUAAUGUCGGAAGUGAAAUGAUGCAUUGAACUCCAGAAGUAAAGCUCUCUUGCUCUAUGUAUAGCGUAUAGGUGCGCGCUGCUACACUUCUUAUUCUUACACUGGUGUAAAUUCCAUCACUUGACGAACAACAAAUGAUUAACUUUUACAUGAAGAUUCUGUUGGUAGCAUGUGGACUCCUUCAAGUUAAGGAUUCACAAUUCCCUCAGAUCCAUUCUGCUGAUAGUACCGGCCACGGGGGAAGUAGUAACAUAACUUGAUGGCGCUUGCCCCCGUCUCACCUCCAUUACAUAGCUCAUAUUGUGUGGGUUUUCCUCUCAGACCCCUUGAACAACUUGACCAUAUUCUUACUCUUACUGUGAUUCAUUCCUUAAUUUUGUUUAUCCGGAUUGCAUGAAUCGUGUUCUCUUUUUGACUGUCAUACUGGUGUGUAGAAACUAUAAUUCUUAUUCGUGAGUGAAGGGAUGUUGAAGUGCUUACCAUUAAUUAUUCGGUAUGGCUUUUCUAGUCCCAGAAAAUUGAGUGUAUUUUUCAA